CCUACGGGAGGCAGCAGUGGGGAAUUUUGGACAAUGGGCGCAAGCCUGAUCCAGCAAUGCCGCGUGAGUGAAGAAGGCCUUCGGGUUGUAAAGCUCUUUUGUCAGGGAAGAAACGGUUCGGGUUAAUACCUUGGGCUAAUGACGGUACCUGAAGAAUAAGCACCGGCUAACUACGUGCCAGCAGCCGCGGUAAUACGUAGGGUGCAAGCGUUAAUCGGAAUUACUGGGCGUAAAGCGUGCGCAGGCGGUUGUGCAAGACAGAUGUGAAAUCCCCGGGCUCAACCUGGGAAUUGCAUUUGUGACUGUACGGCUAGAGUGUGUCAGAGGGGGGUAGAAUUCCACGUGUAGCAGUGAAAUGCGUAGAGAUGUGGAGGAAUACCGAUGGCGAAGGCAGCCCCCUGGGAUAACACUGACGCUCAUGCACGAAAGCGUGGGGAGCAAACAGGAUUAGAUACCCUGGUAGUCCACGCCCUAAACGAUGUCUACUAGUUGUCGGGUCUUUAUUGACUUGGUAACGCAGCUACGCGUGAGUAGACCGCCGUCGGGAGGUACGGUCGGUCGAGAGUUAAACGUACGAAGAAGUAGAGGCGNGNGAGNGCGACGGACGACGACGAGGGAGGAGG
rnacentral:rRNA from 1 species